UUACCUUUAACUUCCCAAGCUAUGAUUAGUAAGAUUAUCAGUUAAAUAUUUGAUAACUGGGUAGUUGCUAGGCUUUGGAUUGGUAUUGUUGUUUGAAUAACAGGAAAGUUUUUACAAAAAUUUUCUAAGUUCAGUUGUUUAGUGAAUAGUUUGUAUAUAACAUGCGUUUUCAAUCUCUGCAAUAUGAUUAAAUUGCGUUGAUGGAUUAAUUUAAUUAUGUAGUAAUUUUUCAUUCCUGAAAAUUAAUUGGAGUUCUAUGAUUUUUAUGAGUGUGGAUGAUGUUUUGUAACUCGAAGUUGAUUUGAAUCGAUGGAUGGUAGCUAGUUACGAGAGAACGGUAUAUGUGCUGAAGAAACGCAGAGUUUGAAGCCCCGAAGUUGGACAAAACAACGCGUAAUUGAUUGUUGGAGCUGUGCUUAAGAGCUGCCAGUAGUUCAACUCCAUUCUCUCUUCCCAUAAAGAAGGUGCUCAAGUCCAGAGGCCAAAGUUUCCCACUGUGAUAACGCUCUCCAGGCAAUUUGAAUGUCAUAAUUUUGAGGUUCUGCAAGUGGGCCAUCACCAAAGACUUCGCUUUGUUUCUCCAAUAUAGUCUUUCUUCAAAAUCAUCUGGCUUCAGAAACAGUAGGGGGAUCUGAAUGUUCACAAGCCAAGAAAUAUCUUUAGAAUUGCAAUACAGAUGAGUUACAAUAUAUAUGUUACCUUCGCUCCUUCACUGUUACCUGACUCUGUUUUGGGGCCAUAACAAAGCACAGAUCCUCAAUGGCAGAGCAAGCUUUGAGCAUGUAGGCAACUCCCGGUAGUUCCCACCUCUGAAAUGAUGUAUUUAUUUCCAGAUUCUGAGAACUCUGACGUGUUGAAAAUGUGGAAGAAGAUUGAGUAAUACAACAUGAUAUCUCAACGACAACAACUCCUCUCCCACUUCCUUCCACAAAUACUCAUGGGGCUGGUCGGAUAGAGCGAAGGUAAACUCAAGGCAGUUUGAUACAUCCUUUACAUGAUAUUCUCUCCUGGGCGAAGCGUAUAAGAAGACCAAUUUUUCAACACUUGGUGCACAGAUAUCCAUUCCAGUGGAUCUAGCAAGAUCAACCUUGGUCUCUAUGAUAGCCAGCUCUUUCAAGUUUGGACUUUCAGAGGCAUCAAUAUUGAAAUUGCGGAACCUACUGCAGUUAACCAAGCUCAUUCGUUCCAGCAGUGGAGCCCUUGAAGUGAUCUUUCUGAUUGUCCUCCCAUUUCUACUUCCAGUUUCCAUACGUGUGAGAGAGAGAGUAUGAAGAUUGGGAAGAUAGAUAGAAUCUGGUAACUCCAACACACAACCCUUGAGCGACAAAGAAACCAAUGAUUCACAGUUGAAAAUGAAUGGGGGUAGUAUAUACAAUGGAUCAUUGUCCCCUUUCAUAUCAAAGUCAAGUUUCAGAUCUUCAACCUCCUUCUUAAUAGCAAAACUCAUCCAUUCAUUCACUUGAUCUUCCUUGUUAGGCCUAUACUUGAAUUCUACAUGGAACUUCUUUAUCUUAUUUCCCCGGUGAAGGGAGAUAAAAUGGGUAAGAGAUUCGAUUUCUUUUCCUGUAGAUUGCUUGAAAACUACAUUGGCCAGGUAUUUCCAUUGAUUUCUCCAUUUACGGGAUAUGAACCCAGCUCUAACGGCAUCUUUCAUUGGUAGUUCAUUCAGUAUAUUGUGGAGAUCUCUUUCAUCUAGUCUCUCAAACAUGUUGGUCAUCUUCUUGGGAUUCUUCUCAAUCUCGGCCAUGGAUGACCAAAAAACUAUGCUACUUAAAGCAAGAAAUGAUAAAAAGAUCAAAUUAUCAGAAUGCUACUGAAAGCAAGGUAAGAUUUACAUAAAACCAAUUGUUCUAAUUUUUUCAGAUAAAUCAUUAUUAAUGUAAAUCUUUAUUUAAAGUUUUGCUUGUGAAUUUAGGAUUAUAGGCUUAUGUUUUGUGGAUUUUGUUUAAAUUUUGAAUUUCUAACUACUUUUCAUGAAUUUGAUUUAAUUUAUAUGCCUUGCUUGCGUUAUGUGUUAGAAAUUAGCAGAUUGAUAUGUUUGGAGUCUGACAAUGAGUCUGCAAGUGGUAUUGGGAGGGAAAAUUUGAAGUAGAAUGAAAAUGAAAUGAUGUGUGUUGAUUCUAAUGUGCUGAAAGUUUCAGAUUUGAGUUCUCAAUUUUUGUUGAGCCUGCAUGUUCUCCAGGGUCUGUCAAUGAAACAGUGAUGUAUGGAGACAGUUCUAUGCUUCUGACCUUUUUGGAUGACGAUAUGCAUCAGGUACAUUCUUCAUAGUUGUUGUGAGUGAUGAUUAUUAUACUCCCUUAUGCUCGUAUUUGUACAUGUCUAAAAUGUUCAGGUCUAGCAAUAAAAAUGAGAAUAGAUUUCUAUUUAAUUUUAAAAAAAUGAAAAGAAAAAAGAAAAAGGAAAAAAAAGACUGGUACCAUGCUUAGACU